rnacentral:tRNA from 1 species
GCCUGGGUGGCUCAGUCGGUUGAGCGUCUGACUUCGGCUCAGGUCACGAUCUCACGGUUUGUGAGUUCGAGCCCCGCGUCGGGCU